GUCCCAGUUCGGAUUGUAGUCUGCAACCCGACUACAUGAAGCUGGAAUCGCUAGUAAUCGCAGGUCAGCAUACUGCGGUGAAUACGUUCCCGGGCCUUGUACACACCGCCCGUCACACCAUGGGAGCCGGAAAUGCCCGAAGCCAGUGACCCAACCUUAGGGAGGGAGCUGUCGAAGGUGGAGCCGGUAACUGGGGUGAAGUCGUAACAAGGUAGC
rnacentral:rRNA from 1 species